rnacentral:rRNA from 1 species
AGUGAACGCUGGCGGUAGGCCUAACACAUGCAAGUCGAACGGCAGCACAGUAAGAGCUUGCUCUUACGGGUGGCGAGUGGCGGACGGGUGAGGAAUACAUCGGAAUCUACUUUUUCGUGGGGGAUAACGUAGGGAAACUUACGCUAAUACCGCAUACGACCUACGGGUGAAAGCAGGGGAUCUUCGGACCUUGCGCGAUUGAAUGAGCCGAUGUCGGAUUAGCUAGUUGGCGGGGUAAAGGCCCACCAAGGCGACGAUCCGUAGCUGGUCUGAGAGGAUGAUCAGCCACACUGGACCUGAGACACGGUCCAGACUCCUACGGGAGGCAGCAGGGGGGAAUAUUGGACAAUGGGCGCAAGCCUGAUCCAGCCAUACCGCGUGGGUGAAGAAGGCCUUCGGGUUGUAAAGCCCUUUUGUUGGGAAAGAAAAGCAGCAGGUUAAUACCCCGCUGUUCUGACGGGACCCAAAGAAUAAGCACCGGCUAACUUCGU